rnacentral:misc_RNA from 1 species
UGUAUUCGAGUAUUUAUUGGUUGUAGCUGGUCUUCGUGAGAUGACAUGUGCACGCCUUUAAAACUCAAUUACCCCCUGUGCACAUUUGUAGGCUUUUGUCUACGUUUUCUUACACACACUAUAAAAGUUUAGAAUGUUUGGUUUUGGCAAUAUUUAUACAACUUUCAACAAUGGAUCUCUUGGUUCUCGCAUCGAUGAAGAACGCAGCGAAACGCGAUAAGUAAUGUGAAUUGCAGAAUUCAGUGAAUCAUCGAAUCUUUGAACGCACCUUGCGCACCUUGGUAUUCCAAGGGGCAUGCCUGUUUGAGUGUCAUUAAAUUAUCAAUCACUUUUUUCUUUUUUUCAAAAGAAAAAAAAGAUGAUUUGGAUGUGGAGUGUUGCUGGCUGUCAAAGUCAGCUCCUCUUGAAUGCAUUAGCGUGUACACUUUGUGAAUAGGCUUUGGGUUGGAGAGUGAGUAAAAUCAUAUCUCUCUAUGCCAUCGCUGUGAAGCAAAAAGUCAGCUGCAAAUACAAAAACAUAAUAAUAAACACUUGGCCUCAAAUCAGGUAGGACUACCCGCUGAACUUAAGCAUAUCAAUAGGCGGGAGGAA